AAUGAACGCUGGCGGCAGGCCUAACACAUGCAAGUCGAACGCGUGGCGGACGGGUGUGUAAGGUCUGGGAAACUGCCUGAUGGAGGGGGAGAACUCCUGGAAACGGUAGUUAAUACCGCUUACCUUUCGCUGAUCCCUGAUGGGAUUAGCUAGUAGGUGGGUUAACGGCUCACCAAGGCGACGAUCCCUAGCUGGUCUGAGAGGAUGACCGGCCACACUGGAACUGAGACACGGUCCAGACUCCUACGGGAGGCAGCAGUGGGGAAUAUUGCGCAAUGGGCGCAAGCCUGAUGCAGCCAUGCCGCGUGUAUGAAGAAGGCCUUCGGGUUGUAAAGUACUUUCAGCAGGGAGGCGUUACCCACAGAAGAAGCACCGGCUAACUCCGUGCCAGCAGCCGCGGUAAUUC
rnacentral:rRNA from 1 species